rnacentral:tRNA from 1 species
GAAUGAGAAGCGAAAAUUGCAUUCAGUUUCGACCUGAAAAAUUGGUGAACAAUUAUAACACCCUCAUUCU